CUCAGAAUGAACUUCGGCGAACAUCGAGCAUGCACACAAAUGCAACAAUGUCUGCAGUCACACGCCUGUGUUCUUCAGUCUUCUUCCGUCUGUCUGCUGCCUGGAAGAUGAUGACUGACGUCUUUUCCUGUGAGGCCAGUGGUUACACAGAAAUGGACGGUGACUCUGUGGAUGUUCCUCUCUCUGUUGAGGAGACCAGACCAGAUCCAGUCCAGAGUUCAGUGCGUCCAUUCAUUCUCUGAGGAUGAAGAGGAUGAUGAAGAAGAGCAGCUCGAAGAGCCGAGAGAUAAUAUGAUCA